CGAAACUGUACCCAGCAUAGUAGUCUGGAUACGCAUUUUAACAAACUUUGCUUUAGACUUGACAGUUAACACGAGAUUUCCAAACGCGGCUCUAAUGUCAGGAGACGCCGAACUGCAACAGCGACACCAAACAGGGAUACGUGAGACGUUUUGGCAAGGCUGGAGGACUCGAAGAAGCGCAAGGCUGCUGCGCAGAAGGGGACGCUCGCUGAGCUACUGCCACGGUCACUUCAGCCAGGAUGACAGCCAAAGAACUUGUCAAAGCAGCAGUUUGAAAAGGUGUUUGAUAUGCUGAAAUACAGGUAACCCCCCCACCAGUCACACUGAGUAAACAUGUGACAGUGCUUAAAGCUGGAAUCAUGCACAGUGGCUCACUUCGUGUGACUUUCUAAUUAGAGUCUUUAUGCUAAGACUGAUGUCUAGAAGGCAAAGUAUUAGUGACGUAUGGUGAAAUUUUUUUUAUGUUAUGUAAAUAGAAAGCAAAACUCUCUAUAUACUUGCAUAGACCGAUAGGCAGUAAACAUAGAUUUACACUAAAUGCAGCAAAAAUGAAAAACAUUCUAAUUUAUAUAACCAAGUUAUGAAAUAUAGUACAUAGU